rnacentral:tRNA from 2 species
UCUAAUAUGGCAGAGAAGUGCAAUGGAUUUAAGCCCCAUAUAUAAAGAAUACUUUUAUUAGAA